UGUUAAAAAUUCCAUCCAUUUGUACUAUUAAAAACUAGCGUGGCUAAUGGAAUAAUCAGUGACAUGUGGCAUGCCAUGUGUACAUCAUACUGAUGUACUAGAACCAGUUUUUAACAAUAGAAAUAGAUGGAAUUUUUAACA
rfam:Gossypium hirsutum cultivar TM-1 chromosome 13, whole genome shotgun sequence